UCGUCUCCUCUCCUCCUGCUACACCUCGGCAACGAGCGGACGCCCCUCUCCCCCACAUCCGGCUCCCAUCACGCGCAUGGAGGUUCAACCGAACCUUCACCACCGCUAUCUGCAGCCAUCCUCGACGUUGUUAGGCUUGCUGCACCAUCGUAGGAACCACGCCGAGGACGGAGAACACAUCUGUGCCAGGGCUGAUCUGCGGCCUCUCGGAUCCAGCGAAGCCCCCUUGGUUGGGGUUCCCAAACCACGACCCCGUCCUCCUCCAAGCCGAAUCCGGGGAGAAGCCGCCGGGCAGGAAGGAUUGGCUUGUAGAUCCAGACCAAGGCCUACAUAUGGUUGUGAUACUCCAUUAGCAAAGCAACUCCGUCCCCUCCACAUUUCAGAGGAGAAGUGCAAGCCUGCCCACUGCUACCGCCGCCGUCCUACAUGCGAGCCUGCCUGGGUUGUGACCUGCGCAACUGCCCAAAAAGGUUCAGUAUCCAAAGUUUCAGGGUUCAUUGGAAGUUUCCAAAUAUGUUGGUCAACAAGUUAUUUGAUUUCUUGCAUGAGAUGCAUCCCGGAGUUGAGGACCGUAAUAUAUUUCUAGGCUUCAGACGACCUGACACGGUUCAUGACAAAUGAUCCUCUCAAAGCGUAGCUAUGUGCAUGUAUUUUCCCUGGCAACCCAAUGGGACAGAGCUACCUAUGAUGGUUGACAUGGACUGUGCUCAGUUGAUUGCCGACAUGCUCAAUAGUGUGUUCCUCUGUUAAAGGUAAGCUAGAGAACUAGCAACCAGGGGCAUACAUUGACAUGGAGUGGAUGGCAAGACACACAGAGGAAAUGCAACGCAUCAAGGUAGCAAGAAGUUGGUGUUUUGUGCUGAUUUGCAUGUGAUUUGAUAGGUACUGACAUUUAAUUUUGCACUAAGGGUAAAUUGAUGAUUUAGCACCAUCGCUUCAUUAUUAAUUUAAGUUAAUGUCUGAA